rnacentral:tRNA from 1 species
GGCGCUGUGCCGGGCGGCACGGCUGAGCGUGAGGGGUUCGCCGCGGCUGAUCGUGGGUGGAGAGGGCGGUUCCUCCCCGCGCAGCACCUC